rnacentral:rRNA from 1 species
UCGAGCGGAACGAUGGUAGCUUGCUACCAGGCGUACGAGCGGCGGACGGGUGAGUAAUGCUUAGGAAUCUGCCCAGUAGUGGGGGAUAGCCCGGGGAAACCCGGAUUAAUACCGCAUACGCCCUUUUGGGGAAAGCAGGGGAUCUUCGGACCUUGCGCUAUUGGAUGAGCCUAAGUCGGAUUAGCUAGUUGGUGGGGUAAAGGCUCACCAAGGCGACGAUCCGUAGCUGGUCUGAGAGGAUGAUCAGCCACAUCGGGACUGAGACACGGCCCGAACUCCUACGGGAGGCAGCAGUGGGGAAUAUUGGACAAUGGGGGCAACCCUGAUCCAGCCAUGCCGCGUGUGUGAAGAAGGCUUUCGGGUUGUAAAGCACUUUCAGUGAGGAGGAAGGCCUUAAGAUUAAUACUCUUAAGGAUUGACGUCACUCACAGAAGAAGCACCGGCUAACUCCGUGCCAGCAGCCGCGGUAAUACGGAGGGUGCAAGCGUUAAUCGGAAUUACUGGGCGUAAAGCGCGCGUAGGUGGUUGAGUAAGCGAGAUGUGAAAGCCCCGGGCUUAACCUGGGAACGGCAUUUCGAACUGCUCGACUAGAGUGUGGUAGAGGGUAGUGGAAUUUCCUGUGUAGCGGUGAAAUGCGUAGAUAUAGGAAGGAACACCAGUGGCGAAGGCGGCUACCU